rnacentral:rRNA from 1 species
GGCACUACGGUGCUGAAGCAACAAAUGCCCUGCUUCCAGGAAAAGCCUCUAAGCAUCAGGUAACAUCAAAUCGUACCCCAAACCGACACAGGUGGUCAGGUAGAGAAUACCAAGGCGCUUGAGAGAACUCGGGUGAAGGAACUAGGCAAAAUGGUGCCGUAACUUCGGGAGAAGGCACGCUGAUAUGUAGGUGAAGCGACUUGCUCGUGGAGCUGAAAUCAGUCGAAGAUACCAGCUGGCUGCAACUGUUUAUUAAAAACACAGCACUGUGCAAACACGAAAGUGGACGUAUACGGUGUGACGCCUGCCCGGUGCCGGAAGGUUAAUUGAUGGGGUUAGCGGUAACGCGAAGCUCUUGAUCGAAGCCCCGGUAAACGGCGGCCGUAACUAUAACGGUCCUAAGGUAGCGAAAUUCCUUGUCGGGUAAGUUCCGACCUGCACGAAUGGCGUAAUGAUGGCCAGGCUGUCUCCACCCGAGACUCAGUGAAAUUGAACUCGCUGUGAAGAUGCAGUGUACCCGCGGCAAGACGGAAAGACCCCGUGAACCUUUACUAUAGCUUGACACUGAACAUUGAGCCUUGAUGUGUAGGAUAGGUGGGAGGCUUUGAAGUGUGGACGCCAGUCUGCAUGGAGCCGACCUUGAAAUACCACCCUUUAAUGUUUGAUGUUCUAACGUUGGCCCGUUAUCCGGGUUGCGGACAGUGUCUGGUGGGUAGUUUGACUGGGGCGGUCUCCUCCUAAAGAGUAACGGAGGAGCACGAAGGUUGGCUAAUCCUGGUCGGACAUCAGGAGGUUAGUGCAAUGGCAUAAGCCAGCUUGACUGCGAGCGUGACGGCGCGAGCAGGUGCGAAAGCAGGUCAUAGUGAUCCGGUGGUUCUGAAUGGAAGGGCCAUCGCUCAACGGAUAAAAGGUACUCCGGGGAUAACAGGCUGAUACCGCCCAAGAGUUCAUAUCGACGGCGGUGUUUGGCACCUCGAUGUCGGCUCAUCACAUCCUGGGGCUGAAGUAGGUCCCAAGGGUAUGGCUGUUCGCCAUUUAAAGUGGUACGCGAGCUGGGUUUAGAACGUCGUGAGACAGUUCGGUCCCUAUCUGCCGUGGGCGCUGGAGAACUGAGGGGGGCUGCUCCUAGUACGAGAGGACCGGAGUGGACGCAUCACUGGUGUUCGGGUUGUCAUGCCAAUGGCACUGCCCGGUAGCUAAAUGCGGAAGAGAUAAGUGCUGAAAGCAUCUAAGCACGAAACUUGCCCCGAGAUGAGUUCUCCCUGACUCCUUGAGAGUCCUGAAGGA